AACCUUUUUCAUAAGCUACUGUAUUUCAAAAUUCAAAAACUCAAAUCUCUCUCCAUCGUUCUCUUUGCCUGCUGGUACGGAAGCUCAGCACCCUCACCGGAGUAAACACAAAAACUUUGCUUGCAAUGCAAACAGAGGAACCGCCGUUAGAACAGCGGCAGCGGCGAGUGGUGUUCCUGCCAACAGUGAAGAAGGAGUAGCUAGAAGCAAGUUGAUGACACGGCGAAGAGAACGAGAGCUCUGAGAUCCUACCAUCGACGGUGUUGCAGAGGAUUGAGUAUUAUUGUUAGUACAGUCUUAACCAGCAAAGCUAUUUUCCAAAGAAUGAAGAUCUAUACGAUCUAUACAGUAUCUAUCACCAUCCGAAUAGUGUUUGGCCUCAUGCUCAUUGAACUAAUAUGGAAAUUCAACUUCUAGCCUUCAUGUUUUUGACCAUUGCCAUUCUAAAUGAUGCUAAAGUUCCAAGCAGAUAUUCCUUUCAAGGACCAGGAGCUCAGGCAGUUUUCAACUGUGUGAGUUUUUAACUCACUUAUAACUUAAAUUGGCAAAGCUAUUGAGGUGGUUGAAAUUGGCAAAGGUAUCAAGGUUAGGUGUGAGCUGCACAAGACAAGUGGACUUCUAAAGAUAACGAAGGAGACAUAGGGUUCAGAAGGGGGGAUGCAAGGCACUAUACCCUUUACACUGGGAUCUUAGGCAACAUUCUUUCUUCGGAUUUUCUGGCACAAGUGCCUGCCUUUCAAUAUCAGUAUCCUGUCAUCAUAGAUGUUAAUAUCUAGUCACAGUCCUGAUUGAUUUGGCUUAUAUAGACUUCUCCUCCACAACAUUCUGUAUAGUAAGUUUGGGUUCAGUUUUAUUUUGCAUUAGUUCUUGAUUAAUAGGCACUGUUGAGAGUAAAUAAUAAAUAUUCUUUUUAUCCUUUAGUAGUACUGCCAAUGAUGAAAGUGGACUGUCAUUGUCUCCGGAAAUAAAUUUUGGCUAGACAGUUUCAAUGUAACAAACAAUAUCCUUUAAAUCAGGUGUAAGAAAAAUGAAUUAGUUGGUAGUUAAAAAAAUGCUUAGUUUGAUAAAAAGAAUUACUCACAAUGUAAGUUAAAUAAUUUAAGGUGGCUUCUUUAGGAAUUUAAAUGAGGUGUUACUUUUUUUACUUUCAUUGUGUAUAUGUUUAAAUUUCUAAACAUGCUUUGUGGAAUAAAAAGAUAUCUAUUUAUUAUUUUAAGAACUUUAAAUUUUUCUAUUGUAAGGUUUAAACUGCAUAUGCGAAUUAAAUAGUUUUUGAUGAUUUUGAAGUUUGAUUCUACAAACUCAAAUUAAGGUGCGAUUCUUAGAGUUUCACAUAUUAAUGUCGGCAAAUUCAGAACGGGCAAAUUGAGCGGAGUGAUUAAAGGCAGCAAAUUGAACUGAGAUGAAGGGCACAUAGUCAGUGUCUCUGAGGAAGGCAGACUUACAAGGGGAGGUUGAGAGAAUGGAUGCUAAGGUAAAGAUGGAGAAACUUUAGAUUAUAUCUUUAGGAAGAUCAAAUAUAGGACAAAAGUAAAAGAAAGAAUAAAACAUCAAAUUUUAGGACAUAAAAAAUGCCUUCUUUAUUUGCAUCAUGUGUGCAGAGUAUGCUAGAGUGAAGGAAUCCAUCAUGUUCGGAACAUGGAAUGUAGGAGGAGACAAUCAUUAUAAGUAUUUGUCUCUUUUCAUUUGUUGUUUUUAGUGUUAUUUUUACCCUUAAAAAAUUUGUGCUGUGUAUGUUUAAAUUUUUUUGGAUUCCUAAUUUUAUUUAUUUAAUAUAUAUCAAUUUCUGAAUUAUUUUAUUUUAUCACUCUUGAAAAACAAAAAUCGGGGCAGGUGGUAUUUUUUAUUUUUUUUAUUUCAAUUUUUCUUGCUUACUAUGAAAAAAAUGUGAAUAAAAUAAUAGCACUUGCAAUGCUUGGUAAGAUAUUUUAGCGGUCAAUAAAUUUGGUUAUAACAUACUAUUUUAAAUGCUAUUCUACUAUACUACAUCAAUUGUGUUUUUGUAUUCGUUUGAGUUUAUACGACCCAACAAAGCAGGCUCAAAUUGACAAGUUCAUGGUACAACACUUGAUCAAACUGUUAAUGAGAGGGGUUGGUGCAAGUAGAGUGUAUCACUACUUGAUUCCUUUGGCUUUCUAAGUUAAAAUGGCUGCAUUUUUAUUUGUGUUUGUACUCCAUGCAUUUUAUGCUAGAUGACAGGAGGAAUGGGCUGCGCUUGCAAAUUGAUGCAAGAUUGAUUGCAGCCGCAGCAAGGGGCAAGGACUUGAAAAGUUUCAUUUAUUGUUGAGAUUUGUCUUUUUAACUAUUAUCAAUGCUUAAUGUGUUGAGAUAGUAA